UAGGGAAUCUUCCGCAAUGGGCGAAAGCCUGACGGAGCAACGCCGCGUGAGUGAUGAAGGUCUUCGGAUCGUAAAACUCUGUUAUUAGGGAAGAACAUAUGUGUAAGUAACUGUGCACAUCUUGACGGUACCUAAUCAGAAAGCCACGGCUAACUACGUGCCAGCAGCCGCGGUAAUACGUAGGUGGCAAGCGUUGUCCGGAUUUAUUGGGCGUAAAGCGAGCGCAGGCGGUUUCUUAAGUCUGAUGUGAAAGCCCCCGGCUCAACCGGGGAGGGUCAUUGGAAACUGGGAGACUUGAGUGCAGAAGAGGAGAGUGGAAUUCCAUGUGUAGCGGUGAAAUGCGCAGAGAUAUGGAGGAACACCAGUGGCGAAGGCGACUUUCUGGUCUGUAACUGACGCUGAUGUGCGAAAGCGUGGGGAUCAAACAGG
rnacentral:rRNA from 1 species